GUGGCCGGUGGCCUGUUCUUCCUCUUCACUCUGCUGUGUUUGGUUUGCCUCGCAAGCUCAUCGUUCGACAACGACAAACUGAAGAAUUUCAAAGAAGUCCUUCAGAAAGUGGAACAACAGCUGGACCAUAUGAAGGCCCGAAGGGCCAUUGUUCCAGAUUACAUGACUAGAUAUACUAGUUUCACUGAACAAAUGAUGGCAUUCGUGGACGAAAUCUCAGAAGAAUUUUCUGCCGACUCCAUGCCACUGAAGGGAAUUCUGGAGAACUCCAAGAGCAUCAUGGAGCGGACCAAGACUUUCAUAGAUGGGGAGAAUGAGAAGUUGGAUGCAAGUUUAGCUGACUUGGAACUGAA